CAGUAGCCGCGGUAAUACGAAGGGUGCAAGCGUUAAUCGGAAUUACUGGGCGUAAAGGGUGCGUAGGCGGUUGUUUAAGUCUGUUGUGAAAUCCCCGGGCUCAACCUGGGAAUGGCAAUGGAGACUGGGCGGCUAGAGUGUGUCAGAGGAUGGUGGAAUUCCCGGUGUAGCGGUGAAAUGCGUAGAGAUCGGGAGGAACAUCAGUGGCGAAGGCGGCCAUCUGGGACAACACUGACGCUGAAGCACGAAAGCGUGGGGAGCAAACAGGAUUAGAUACCCCCGUAGUCCCUGUCUCUUAUAC
rnacentral:rRNA from 1 species